rnacentral:rRNA from 1 species
UGGAAUGCGCAGAUAUCAGGAGGAACACCGAUGGCGAAGGCAGAUCUCUGGGCCGUAACUGACGCUGAGGAGCGAAAGGGUGGGGAGCAAACAGGCUUAGAUACCUGGUAGUCCACCCCGUAAACGUUGGGAACUAGUUGUGGGGUCCUUUCCACGGAUUCCGUGACGCAGCUAACGCAUUAAGUUCCCCGCCUGGGGAGUACGGCCGCAAGGCUAAAACUCAAAGGAAUUGACGGGGACCCGCACAAGCGGCGGAGCAUGCGGAUUAAUUCGAUGCAACGCGAAGAACCUUACCAAGGCUUGACAUACACGAGAACGGGCCAGAAAUGGUCAACUCUUUGGACACUCGUGAACAGGUGGUGCAUGGUUGUCGUCAGCUCGUGUCGUGAGAUGUUGGGUUAAGUCCCGCAACGAGCGCAACCCUCGUUCUAUGUUGCCAGCACGUAAUGGUGGGAACUCAUGGGAUACUGCCGGGGUCAACUCGGAGGAAGGUGGGGAUGACGUCAAAUCAUCAUGCCCCUUAUGUCUUGGGCUUCACGCAUGCUACAAUGGCCGGUACAAUGGGCUGCGAUACCGUAAGGUGGAGCGAAUCCCAAAAAGCCGGUCCCAGUUCGGAUUGAGGUCUGCAACUCGACCUCAUGAAGUCGGAGUCGCUAGUAAUCGCAGAUCAGCAACGCUGCGGUGAAUACGUUCCCGGGUCUUGUACACACCGCCCGUCAAGUCAUGAAAGUCGGUAACACCUGAAGCCGGUGGCCUAACCCCGUGUGGGAGGGAGCUGUCGAAGGUGGGAUCGGUAAUUAGGACUAAGUCGUAACAAGGUAACC